CCCUUUGUUACCAGAACGUAAGCUCUGGCUCCUGAGGGGACUGCCGCAGACAAUGCGGAGGAAGGUGGGGACGACGUCAAGUCCGCAUGCCCCUUAUGUCCUGGGCAACACACGUGCUACAAUGGUCGGUACAAAGGGAUGCCAAACCGCAAGGUGGAGCAAAUCCCAAAAAACCGGUCUCAGUUCGGAUCGAGGUCUGAAACCCGACCUCGUGAAGCUGGAAUCGCUAGUAAUCGUGGAUCAGCAUGCCGCGGUGAAUACGUUCCCGGGCCUU
rnacentral:rRNA from 1 species